GUGCCAGCCGCCGCGGUAAUACGGAGGGUGCAAGCGUUAUCCGGAAUCACUGGGCGUAAAGGGCGCGUAGGCGGCUAAAUAAGUCUGAUGUUAAAGCGUGGGGCUCAACCCCAUUAUGGCGUUGGAUACUGUUUAGCUAGACGACUGGAGAGGAAGGUAGAAUUACCAGAGUAGCGGUGGAAUGCGUAGAUACUGGUAGGAAUACCCAUAGCGAAGGCAGCCUUCUGGACAGUUAGUGACGCUGAGGCGCGAAAGUGUGGGGAGCAAACCGGAUUAGAUACCCGAGUAGUCC
rnacentral:rRNA from 1 species